AUGGAGGUCGUGACGGGGGCCAUGAGCACCCUCCUGCCCAAGCUGGGCAGCAUGCUCAAGGAUGAGUACAACCUGCACAGGAAGGUCAGGGGCGAGAUCCUGUUCCUCACGGCCGAGCUGGAGAGAAUGGAGGCUGCUCUCAUAGAGGUUUCGGAGGCCCCGAUUGACCACCCACCUAGUAAACUUGUAAAGCUUUGGGCCAAGGAUGUCAAGGACCUGUCGUACGAAAUUGAGGACAGCGUCGACAAAUUCAUGGUGCAUCUCGACGGCCGUGCAGAGGAGAAGGCGCAGAGCUUCAUGGGUUUCAUCCACAGGAGCAUCGACCUGUUGACGAGGGCCAAGACGCGCCACAAGAUCGGCACCGAGGUCAAACACAUCAAGAGACGCAUCCAGGAGGUCAGUGCACGGCGCGAUAGGUACAAGGUUGACAAAGCUGUUGAAAAGCCUGUUGUCACAAGUGUUGAUAGCCUUCGCCUGUCAGCUCUCUACAAAAAGGAGACAGAGCUCGUUGGCACCGAAGAGAAGAUCCAAGAGCUAGUCGAGACAAUGACUGAGGAGGCAGACGAGGCGUCUAAGCAGCAGCUGAAGAUAGUCUCCAUUGCUGGUUUUGGGGGAUUAGGCAAGACAACUCUUGCUAAUGCGGUGUAUCAAAAGCUUAAAUCACAAUUCGAUUGUGGGGCUUUUGUUUCCGUGUCUCUUAAUCCGAACAUUGAGAAGAUUUUUAAGAACAUUCUUCACCAACUUGACAAGCACAAUUAUAGUAACAUCAAUGAAGCGGUAUGGGGCGAAGCACAGCUCAUCAGUGAGCUAAGAGAUUUUCUUCUAAACAAGAGGUAUUUCAUUGUGAUUGAUGACAUAUGGAACAUUUCUGUAUGGAAAACAAUCAAACAUGCUUUCAUUGAGAACAGAUGUGGAAGUAGAAUAAUCAUAACAACUCGUAUUCUUGAUGUUGCCAAACAAGUUGGUAGUGUUUAUGACCUAAAGCCUCUUUCUCCUAUCGACUCAAGAAAGUUAUUUCACCAAAGAAUAUUUGGUAUCGAAGACAAGUACCCUCCUACUCAAUUAGCUGAAGUAUCUGAGAACAUUUUAAAGAGAUGCAGUGGAGUACCAUUGGCUAUAGUGACAACAGCUAGUAUGCUAGCUAGUAAAAGAGGAAAUGAUUGGCCCAAGGUGUACCAAUCUAUGGGUUCCGAGCCACAAGAUAGUUCUGAUAUGCAGGACAUGAGAAGGGUAUUAUCAGUGAGUUACUACGACCUACCUGCACAUCUGAAGACAUGUUUAUUGUUUAUCAGUGUGUAUCCAGAGGAUUAUACCAUUGUAGCUGAAGAUUUGAUAUGGCAAUGGAUUGGUCAAGGUUUUGUUCAGGAAGAACAUGGGAAGAGCUUGUAUGAAGUAGGAGAGGAAUACUUUGCUCAGCUGAUUAACAAAAGCUUGAUUCAACCUGUAGAUAUUGGGAGUGGUAAUAAAGCGAGCGCAUGUCGUGUACACGAUAUGGUGCUUGACCUCAUCACUUCCCUUUCAAGCGAAGAGAACUUCCUAAUAACAGUAGGUGGUCUGCAGCCUGUGUCUGCAUCAAGUAAGAUACAUCGACUAUCUGUACAAAACAGAAAUGAAGAUGAUUUGAAGAAGCUGGCAACCAUGAGCUUGUCUCAUGUGAGGUCAGUUUUUGUUUUCGGGCAAGAUAUCAGUUUACUGCCAGCCCUCUCAAGCUUUCCAGUCAUACGUGCAUUGGAUUUAAGUUACUGUCUUAAUGUGGAUAAUCAUCAUGUGAAGAUUAUGUGCAAUCUGCUUCACUUGAGAUAUUUACGGCUGUGCAAUACAUCCAUAACUGAGAUCCCAGAAGAGAUCGGGAAUCUGCAGUUCUUGCAGGUACUGGACAUAAGUCAGACUGGAAUAGAAGUGUUGCCGCCGCAAUUUGUCCGGCUAACGCAGCUAGUGUACCUGCAUAUUGACAGGCGGACCAAACUGCCAGAUCAGUUUGGCGAUCUGAAAUCCUUGCAAGAUUUUCCAGUUAUCCCCACUGUAACGUCUCCAUCCAUGCUGCAUGAUGUAGGGAAGCUGACGAAACUGAGAAACCUUCUCAUCAGUUUCGAUGAAUGGAACGAGAGCUACGAGGAACCUUUCUGCCGGUGUCUCUCGAAUCUGGUCAAUCUCAAAACGAUAAAAAUAAUCGGUGCCCAUCUCGGCUUAGACUCCGGAAGCGACUAUUUGUUGCCGCGGCCUCGAUACAUUCAGACAAUUCAUCUGAUCAACAACAUCAACUGUGCACUGCCAAGAUGGAUGUCCUCCCUGUCCUGCCUCUCCUUUCUCACAAUCCAUGGCCUAAGAACACUGCGAGUGGAGGACCUUCAAGUCCUUGGGAGCAUACCGUCAUUGAGUUAUCUCGACAUAUGGGUUGUGGAGCCCACACAAGAGAGACAAGAUAGGUUAUUGAUCGACAGCGGUCAUCCAUUCCUUUGUCUAACAACACUCAAGGUCGCCAGUCGCGUCAUGGAGCUACGGUUUGCCCAGGGAGCCACGCAGAAGCUCCAAACCCUCAAGCUACGGUUCUCGGCGCGACAAACACUUUAUCAGUUUGGCGAUUUGGAUUUUGGGCUGGAGAACGUCUCUUCGCUUGAGCACGUGUAUGUCGGGAGGUGGUCCAAGCCCGAGCCCGGGGAGGUGGAGGCUGUGGAGGCUGCGGUCCGGGAAGCGCUCGGCAUGAAUCCCAACCAGCCGACACUCGAGUUCAGCAAGUGGCGAUGA
rnacentral:rRNA from 1 species